rnacentral:rRNA from 1 species
GACGGAGGGUGCAAGCGUUGCUCGGAAUUACUGGGCGUAAAGGGCGCGUAGGCGGUCCGAUAAGUCCCGUGUGAAAUCCCUCGGCUCAACUGAGGAAUGGCACGGGAAACUGCCGGGCUUGAGUUCGGGAGAGGGAAGCGGAAUUCCGGGUGUAGCGGUGAAAUGCGUAGAUAUCCGGAGGAACACCGGUGGCGAAGGCGGCUUCCUGGACCGACACUGACGCUGAGGCGCGAAAGCUAGGGGAGCAAACAGG